rnacentral:rRNA from 1 species
CAAUAGCGUAUAUUAAAGCUGUUGCAGUUAAAAGCUCGUAGUUGGAUCUCGGGUUUGGGCUUGCGGUCCACCACGUGUGGCUACUGCUCGUCUCGACCUACCUCCCGGUUUUCCCUUGGUGCUCUUAAGUGAGUGUCUCGGGUGGCCGGAACGUUUACUUUGAAAAAUUAGAGUGUUCAAAGCAGGCGUUUGCUUGAAUAUAUUAGCAUGGAAUAAUGGAAUAGGACGCUGGUUCUAUUUUGUUGGUUUUGAGAACCAGAGUAAUGAUUAAUAGGGACAGUUGGGGGCAUUCAUAUUUCAUUGUCAGAGGUGAAAUUCUUGGAUUUAUGAAAGAUGAACUUCUGCGAAAGCAUUUGCCAAGGAUGUUUUCAUUAAUCAAGAACGAAAGUUAGGGGAUCGAAGACGAUUAGAUACCAU